AUUGAACGCUGGCGGCAUGCCUUACACAUGCAAGUCGAACGGUAACGGGCCUUCGGGUGCCGACGAGUGGCGAACGGGUGAGUAAUACAUCGGAACGUGCCCGAUCGUGGGGGAUAACGAGGCGAAAGCUUUGCUAAUACCGCAUACGAUCUACGGAUGAAAGCAGAGGACCGCAAGGCCUUGCGCGGACGGAGCGGCCGAUGGCAGAUUAGGUAGUUGGUGGGAUAAAAGCUUACCAAGCCGACGAUCUGUAGCUGGUCUGAGAGGAUGAUCAGCCACACUGGGACUGAGACACGGCCCAGACUCCUACGGGAGGCAGCAGUGGGGAAUUUUGGACAAUGGGCGCAAGCCUGAUCCAGCCAUGCCGCGUGCAGGAUGAAGGCCUUCGGGUUGUAAACUGCUUUUGUACGGAACGAAAAGCCUUCUUUUAAUACAGGAGGGUCAUGACGGUACCGUAAGAAUAAGCACCGGCUAACUACGUG
rnacentral:rRNA from 1 species